GACGAACGCUGGCGGCGUGCUUAACACAUGCAAGUCGAACGAAGUGGCGAACGGGUUCGUAACUCGUAAUCAACCUGCCCUUCAGAGGGGGACAACAGUUGGAAACGACUGCUAAUUCCGCAUCCUGAAGGAGGGGAUUGCGUCUGAUUAGCUGGUUGGAUGGGUAACGGCCCACCAAGGCGAUGAUCAGUAGCCGGUCGGAGAGGAGGAAAGGCCAAAGGGGGACCGAGACACGGCCCAGACUCCGACGGGAGGCAGCAGGGGGGAAUCGUCCGAAAUGGACGAAAGUAUGACGGAGCAAAGCCGCGGGAGUGAUGACGGCCUGCGGGUUGUAAAGCUCUGUUAAUCGGGACGCGGUACCGGAAUAGAAAGCAACGGCUAACGACGUGCCAGCAGCCGCGGUAAUAC
rnacentral:rRNA from 1 species